UGAAAUCUGCAGGAGGAGGUAAAAUAAAGUUUGAUAAGUGCAUAGCAACUCCUAUGUUUAUGCCUCGUUUGUCCAGGAUUGGUCGGAUUCUUGGUCCGCGUGGGUUGAUGCCAAACCCCAAGUUAGGAUCUGUGACAAAUGAUGUCUCUGCUGCUGUAAAGGCGGCAAAAUGUGGACGUGUAGAUUUUAAAAUUGAUAAAACUGUUAUUGUCCAUGUAGGCCUUGG